rnacentral:rRNA from 1 species
ACAGAGGUGGCAAGCGUUGUUCGGAUUUAUUGGGCGUAAAGGGUCCGUAGGCGGUUUGGAAAGUCGGGUGUGAAAGCCCACAGCUCAACUGUGGAACUGCACUCGAAACUUCCAGACUAGAGUAUGAGAGGGGUGAAGGGAAUUCCCGGUGUAAGGGUGAAAUCUGCAGAGAUCGGGAGGAACACCUGUCGCGAAGGCGCUUCACUGGCUCAUUACUGACGCUCAGGGACGAAAGCUAGGGUAGCAAACGGGA